UGUCCAAUGGUGUAAUGGUAGCACAGCAGAUUUUGGUUCUGUCGGCCCAAGUUCGAGUCUUGGUUGGACAA
rnacentral:tRNA from 1 species